GAACGCUGGCGGUAUGCCUUACACAUGCAAGUCGUACGAGAGUUUCUAACUCAAGUGGCGGACGGGUGAGUAACACGUAAGAAUUUGCCUUUAGGAGGGGGAUAACAACUGGAAACGGUUGCUAAUACCCCAUAUGCUUUCGAGUGAAAUGGUUUUUCCGCCUAAAGAGAAGCUUGCGGCUGAUUAGCUUGUUGGUGAGGUAAUGGCUCACCAAGGCGACGAUCAGUAUCUGGUUUGAGAGGACGAUCAGACACACUGGAACUGAGACACGGUCCAGACUCCUACGGGAGGCAGCAGUGGGGAAUUUUCCGCAAUGGGCGAAAGCCUGACGGAGCAAUACCGCGUGAGGGAUGACUGCCUAUGGGUUGUAAACCUCUUUUUUCAGGGAGGAAUAAAAUGACGUGUACCUGAAGAAUAAGCAUCGGCUAACUCCGUGCCAGCAGCCGCGGUAAG
rnacentral:rRNA from 1 species